CCGCCCCGCCACCGCAUGCAGCCCCCCACCGGUCAACGCCGCGGCCCCGCCGCGCCCUCCUCCCGCGGCGUAUGGCGCCCCCGAUCCGCUGCCGAGGCCCCCGCCCCCAACCCCGCCCACCACCGCGACAACGCCGCCCCGCUCCUGCCCCUCCCCAACCCCAACCCCAACCCGGGCCCUGCCUCGGACAGCCGCGCGCCCCGCCGCCGCCAGCGCCGCCCGAACCGCAACAACGGCCCCGCCCCACCGCCGCAUGAGAGGGCUCCCUCGUCCGGGCCCGCUAACGCCUCCGCGCCGCGGCGGCAAGAGAGGGCUCCCGCGUCCGCGAACACCUCCGCGCUGCGGCGGCAAGAGAGGGCGAACGCCCCCACGCCCGCGGUGGCGGCCGCGGGGGGCGGCGGGUCGGUGCCGCAGCUGGUGCAGGAGAUCCAGGACAAGCUGGCGCGGGGGGCGGUGGAGUGCAUGAUCUGCUACGACAUGGUGCGCCGCUCCGCCCCCGUCUGGUCCUGCGGCAGCUGCUUCUCCAUCUUCCACCUCCCCUGCAUCCGCAAGUGGGCGCGCUCCCCGGCCUCCGUCUCUGACGCCUCCGCGCCGGCCUCCGACGCCUGGCGCUGCCCCGGCUGCCAGUCCGUGCAGGACGUCCGCGCCCGCGACAUCGCCUACACCUGCUUCUGCCGCCGCCGCCGCGACCCGCCCAACGACCUCUUCCUCACCCCGCACUCCUGCGGCGAGCCCUGCUCCAAGCCCCUCGGCAAGGCGGAUCCUGCGGCCAAGGGCGGUGACGAAGAUGAUGUCGCCACCAGGUGCCCGCACGUAUGCGUCCUGCAGUGCCACCCUGGGCCGUGCCCGCCCUGCAAGGCGUUUGCUCCGGAGCGCCCCUGUCCUUGCGGCAAGCAGUCUAUCACGCGUCGCUGCGCGGACUGGAGUACGCCUGUCACGUGUGGGCAGCGGUGCGAGAAGCUGCUGCCCUGCCGGAGGCACCGCUGCGAGAAGGUCUGCCACACCGGCCCCUGCGGUGACUGCGAGGUUAACUUCCCUGCACAGUGCUUCUGUGGCAAGAAAACAGAGACAUUGUUGUGCGGCGAGAUGGUGCUCAAAGGGAAGCUGUCGGACAAGGAUGGGGUGUUCUCUUGCAGUGAGGUUUGCGGCCACAAUCUGGCAUGUGGCAAUCAUGCCUGCCAGGAUGUUUGCCACCCAGGGCCGUGUGGGGAGUGCGAGCUUGUGCCAGGGAAGGUCACCACAUGCCAUUGUGGCAAGACAAGGCUGCAGGAGAAGAGGGCUAGCUGCUUGGACCCAAUCCCCACCUGUGACAAGGUAUGCGACAAGAGAUUGCCCUGUGGAGUGCAUAGGUGCAAGGUCACGUGUCACGAAGGAGAGUGUCCACCGUGCUUGGUGCGUGUCGAGCAGAGGUGCCGCUGUGGCUCAUCAGGCCAGAUGGUGGAGUGCUACAAGGUAUUGAAGGAAGAGUUCCGUUGCAACAAGCCUUGUGGCCGCAAGAAGAACUGCGGGAGGCACAGGUGCAGUGAGUGCUGUUGCCCGCUGUCGAAGCCAUUUGCUCAGCAUCAAGGUGACAGCAUGGAUCCCCAUUUCUGCCAGAUACCAUGUGGAAAGAAGCUCCGUUGUGGACAGCAUGGUUGCCAGCAUCUCUGCCACAGCGGUCACUGUGACCCUUGCCGCGAGACCAUAUUCCAUGAUCUCACUUGUGCCUGUGGCAGGACAUCUAUUCCGCCACCACAGCCUUGCGGCACACCAACUCCAUCAUGCCCACACCAGUGCAUGGUCCCUCAGCCUUGCGGGCAUCCAGCUUCGCAUCAAUGCCAUUUCGGGGACUGCCCACCUUGCGUUGUGCCAGUCACAAGAGAAUGUGUUGGGGGGCAUGUGAUGUUGAGGAACAUCCCUUGUGGUUCAAAGGAUAUCAGAUGCAACCAGCCCUGUGGAAAGAACCGCCAAUGUGGACUGCAUGCUUGUGCCAGGACUUGCCAUCCUGCCCCAUGUGAUCCACCGCCUGCAAAUGGAGAAGCUAGUUCAAGCUCUGGGGGCAGAGUUUCAUGUGGACAGUUAUGUGGUGUCCCAAGGAGGGAAUGCAAGCACACUUGCAAUGCGCCAUGCCACCCGUCGUCACCUUGCCCAGAUGUGAGAUGUGAACACCGUGUGACUAUUACCUGUUCUUGUGGCCGUAUCACUACAGCUGUGCCCUGCAGUGCUGGUGGAGCCUACAAUGGUGAUAGUGCGUUCGAUAUCUCCGUCAUGCAGCAGCUGCCAAUGCCUCUCCAACCAGUGGAAUCAAAUGGGAAGAGGGUUCCUCUUGGGCAGAGGAAACUUUGUUGUGACGAGGAGUGUGCAAAAAUGGAGAGGAAAAGGGUCCUUGCUGAAGCUUUUGACAUUACCCCGCCCAAUCUGGAUGCACUCCAUUUUGGUGAGAACUCAAAUGCGUCGGAUUUGCUUUCUGAUCUUUUCCGGCGUGAGCCAAAGUGGGUUCUGGCCAUAGAGGAGAGGUGCAAGUUCCUUGUCCUUGGGAAGACAAAGGGGAAUUCUUCAAGCAACAUGAAGUUCCAUGUCUUCUGUCACAUGAUGAAGGACAAGAGAGAUGCUAUCAGGCUCAUUGCAGAUAGGUGGAAGCUUUCUGUCCAGGCAGUUGGGUGGGAACCCAAGCGUUUUAUUACCGUCCAUGUCACACCCAAGUCCAAGGUUCCUGCUCGUGUUCUGGGCUCUAAGCCUGGUGUCCCUGUCUCGGCGUCCCAUCCUUACUUUGAUCCCAUGGUGGACAUGGAUCCGAGGCUCGUCGUUGCAAUGCUGGACCUGCCCAGGGAUGCUGAUGUUAGCUCUCUAGUUUUAAGGUUUGGUGGGGAGUGUGAAUUGGUUUGGCUGAAUGACAAGAAUGCCGCUGCAGUCUUCAGCGAUCCAGCUAGAGCAGCGACAGCGCUGAGGCGGCUGGAUUAUGGGUCUGCUUACCAGGGUGCUGCAAUGUUUUGCCCAAGCAGCAUCACUCAGGCUUCUGUGUCAAGCAAUGUGUGGGUCGGAGCACAGAGAGAUGGAGGGUUGGCUGCAAAGAGCAGUGCCAAUCCAUGGAAGGCCUCUCAAUCUGAGCCCGACCCAUCUGGAGACUGGACAGUGCUCAGUCAUGCUUCAGGGUCAGUGUGGAAACGUGGUGAUACUCCUGCUCAGGUCAUGGGUUCUUCAAACCGCUGGAAUGCUCUGGAGUCUGAUGCUGCAACCAGCUCUGGGCCAACCGACAAACGUAAGCCUCCUCUUCGCACUGAAACAGGAUCCAGCAGUUCUGCUCCCCGCGUUGGUGCUGGAUCCAGCGCAGCACCAAGUGCUGGGCAAUCGGUGAGCAAGCUGCAGCCUGACGUCGAAGUUGAAGACUGGGAAGAAUCGUGUGAAUGAUGAGACCGAGGUAGUUUGGUCAAGAUGACUCAUUUUUAUUCAGAUGUCAUUUUUAUCUCUAAUACAAUGUAUAUCGAAGCUGUUACUGUGUCACCGUCAAGUAGUUCCUGGCUGUUGCUGGUUGACUGCUCAGUUGGAAGUAUUUUUGCCAUGCAAUAAACAAUGAACCCUUCUCAUAUUUCCUGUGUUCUUUAACAUCACAGUGUUCACAGAAUCACAGCUUGUGCAAUCCAGUUGGGUUAAUGUAUGGCAGCCAAAAUUGCCCUUCGACACGAUUCUCACCCUUUCUUUUGCAUCGACAAGAUCAUCCUUCUCCCAUGCUGACCAACUCCAUGACCUGGUCUGAAGACUUUGCUUGGUUAUUUCAACUGAUCAUCUGCGUGUUGUUAUGCCAGUGCAUUGUUGCUAGAUAUAGUGGGUGGUUGCGGAAUUAAAUAUUGAAUUGUUUCUAUGCCAUUCAACUACUUAAGUUAAUGCACUCAACGUAUGCCAGUCAGUUACUCUAAACUAGUGAUUCUGUUAUGCCUACGGUUCCAGUUGCUAUUCCGCUGUUUCAUUUUGAUGUCACACUUCAUGUUUUCAUUGGAAGUAAAAUGCGCAGCAAUAAAUGUUCUUCACCUUA